rnacentral:tRNA from 1 species
CAGGGAGACAACAAAAUGUUUAAUAUUAUUAUUUUGUCACCUUAGGUCGAUCGGUAUCUCACGUUCUUAAUUUAUUAAGAAUUUCAUUUCCUAAGUUUUUCUAGGUCACACCCAUUAUUUUUCCUGGGCCAUUAGCUCAGGUGGUUAGAGCGCACCCCUGAUAAGGGUGAGGUCCCUGGUUCAAGUCCAGGAUGGCCCAUAUCUCUAUGUUGGGGGUAUAGCUCAGUUGGUAGAGCGCCUGCUUUGCAAGCAGGAUGUCAGCGGUUCGAGUCCGCUUACCUCCACUGAUUACCACCUCUUCCAUAAUCGGUAGAAAGGAAAUUUUUUGAAUUGUGAUCAAAUUCUGAACGAAUCUAGCUUCCUAAUGUAAUCAUUAAGAUGCUGGACUCAUUGAAUUAAAUUCAUUGUUUUCAGAGAACCUUGACAACUGCAUAGAUUAUUUUUAAAGACAAUAAGCAUCUUUAAUGAUGCUGAUUUAUUAUUUGUGCGAAUGCAUAAAAUAACAAUUCUAUUAAGCUGAUGCUUCAAUUUUGAAGUUAUU